rnacentral:rRNA from 1 species
AGAAUCAACGCUGGCGGCGUGCCUCAGACAUGCAAGUCGAACGCGAAAGUCCCCUUCGGGGGGCGAGUAGAGUGGCGCACGGGUGAGUAACACGUAGGUAAUUUGCCUUCGGGUGGGGAAUAACUCAGGGAAACUUGAGCUAAUACCGCAUAAUGCAGCGGCUCGACAUCGAGACAGUUGUUAAAGCGGGGGAUCGCAAGACCUCGCGCCUGAAGAGAAGCCUGCGGCAGAUUAGCUAGUUGGUAGGGUAAUGGCCUACCAAGGCGACGAUCU